UAACGGCGAGUGAAGCGGCAACAGCUCAAAUUUGAAAUCUGGCCUCUUUGGGGUCCGAGUUGUAAUUUGUAGAGGAUGUUUCGGGCACCGCUCCGGUUUAAAUUUCUUGGAACAGAAUGUCAAAGAGGGUGAGAACCCCGUCUUGGACCGGCAGUAGGGCCCAUGUGAAACUCCUUCGACGAGUCGAGUUGUUUGGGAAUGCAGCUCAAAAUGGGUGGUAAAUUUCAUCUAAAGCUAAAUAUUGGCCAGAGACCGAUAGCGCACAAGUAGAGUGAUCGAAAGAUGAAAAGCACUUUGAAAAGAGAGUUAAACAGUACGUGAAAUUGUUGAAAGGGAAGCGCUUGCAACCAGACUUGCGCGCGGCGGUUCCCCCUUCCUUUUGGUUGGGUUAUUCCGCCGUGUCCAGGCCAACAUCGGUUCUGGGGGUCGGUUAAAGGCCUGGGGAAUGUAUCUACCCUUCGGGCGUAGACUUAUAGCCCCGGGUGUCAUGCGACCUCCCGGGACCGAGGAACGCGCUUCGGCUCGGAUGUUGGCGUAAUGGUUGUCAGCGACCCGUCUUGAAACACGGACCAAGGAGUCUAACAUCUAUGCGAGUGUUUGGGUGUCAAACCCGGAACGCGGAAUGAAAGUGAACGGAGGUAGGAAGCUUCGGCUGCACUAUCGACCGAUCCUGAUGUCUUCGGAUGGAUUUGAGUAAGAGCAUAGCUGUUGGGACCCGAAAGAUGGUGAACUAUGCCUGAAUAGGGUGAAGCCAGAGGAAACUCUGGUGGAGGCUCGCAGCGGUUCUGACGUGCAAAUCGAUCGUCAAUUUGGGUAUAGGGGCGAAAGACUAAUCGAACCAU
rnacentral:rRNA from 1 species